rnacentral:tRNA from 1 species
GUCCCUGUUGCGGAAUGGAUAGCGCGUUGGACUUCUAAUCCAAAAGUCGUGGGUUGGAAUCCCACCUGGGAUG